rnacentral:rRNA from 1 species
UGGAUCCAGACUUUGAUUAUGGCUCAGGAUGAACGCUAGCUACAGGCUUAACACAUGCAAGUCGAGGGGAAACGACAUCGAAAGCUUGCUUUUGAUGGGCGUCGACCGGCGCACGGGUGAGUAACGCGUAUCCAACCUGCCCACCACUUGGGGAUAACCUUGCGAAAGUAAGACUAAUACCCAAUGAUAUCUCUAGAAGACAUCUGAAGGAGAUUAAAGAUUUAUCGGUGAUGGAUGGGGAUGCGUCUGAUUAGCUUGUUGGCGGGGUAACGGCCCACCAAGGCUACGAUCAGUAGGGGUUCUGAGAGGAAGGUCCCCCACAUUGGAACUGAGACACGGUCCAAACUCCUACGGGAGGCAGCAGUGAGGAAUAUUGGUCAAUGGACGAGAGUCUGAACCAGCCAAGCAGCGUGCAGGAUGACGGCCCUAUGGGUUGUAAACUGCUUUUAUAAGGGAAUAAAGUGAGUCUCGUGAGGCUUUUUGCAUGUACCUUAUGAAUAAGGACCGGCUAAUUCCGUGCCAGCAGCCGCGGUAAUACGGAAGGUCCGGGCGUUAUCCGGAUUUAUUGGGUUUAAGGGGAGCGUAGGCCGGAGAUUAAGCGUGUUGUGAAAUGUAGACGCUCAACGUCUGCACUGCAGCGCGAACUGGUUUCCUUGAGUACGCACAAAGUGGGCGGAAUUCGUGGUGUAGCGGUGAAAUGCUUAGAUAUCACGAAGAACUCCGAUUGCGAAGGCAGCUCACUGGAGCGCAACUGACGCUGAAGCUCGAAAGUGCGGGUAUCGAACAGGAUUAGAUACCCUGGUAGUCCGCACGGUAAACGAUGGAUGCCCGCUGUUGGUCUGAAUAGGUCAGCGGCCAAGCGAAAGCAUUAAGCAUCCCACCUGGGGAGUACGUCGGCAACGGUGCAACUCAAAUGAAUUGACGGA